CCUACGGGAGGCUGCAGUAGGGAAUCUUCCACAAUGGGCGAAAGCCUGAUGGAGCAACGCCGCGUGGGUGAAGAAGGUCUUCGGAUCGUAAAACCCUGUUGUUAGAGAAGAAAGUGCGUGAGAGUAACUGUUCACGUUUCGACGGUAUCUAACCAGAAAGCCACGGCUAACUACGUGCCAGCAGCUGCGGUAAUACGUAGGUGGCAAGCGUUAUCCGGAUUUAUUGGGCGUAAAGGGAACGCAGGCGGUCUUUUAAGUCUGAUGUGAAAGCCUUCGGCUUAACCGGAGUAGUGCAUUGGAAACUGGGAGACGUGAGUGCAGAAGAGGAGAGUGGAACUCCAGGUGUAGCGGUGAAAUGCGUAGAUAUAUGGAAGAACACCAGUGGCGAAAGCGGCUCUCUGGUCUGUAACUGACGCUGAGGUUCGAAAGCGUGGGUAGCAAACAGGAUUAGAUACCCGGGUAGUC
rnacentral:rRNA from 1 species